rnacentral:lncRNA from 1 species
GUAAAAUGAAAAAUAAAGCGAAUGUGCUAGUGAGAUAAAAUGUUUAUAUAUGAGGCAAUAGUCAGUGUUGACUCAUAAACGGACAAACUGAAGUAAAAGUUAUUUAAAGUAAAGAAAUAAUAUAGUAAAUUGAGUUUUACUAUAAAAGUUAUGCAUUAGCUAUUUAAACUCCGUAUUUGCGAGUAGAGGUAAAAGAUAUUUCUGAAAUGAAAUUUAAAUGGUUUAAGUUUCAAGAUGUAAAAUAUUUGCAUCUUAAAAUGUGUGAGACCUUUACUAUUUAUGAAACAAGUAAAAUAUUAUUACAUGAUUAAUAAUAUUAGAAGGUGAUUACAAUAUUAUUAAAUGAUUAAUAAUAUUAGUAAAGGAUUUAAAUAUUAUUAAGUUAUUAAUAAUAUUUGUGAAUGAUAAAUACUCUAUUAACUGAUUAAAAAUAUUAGACAAAAGUUUAAGAUAAUGGUUAAGUGAUAGUAAUAUUAUUAAGGGAUAAUAAUAUUACUAAUGAGUUAAAGAAUUAUUCAAUGUUUAAUUAUGUGGCUAAAUGUUAGCUAAUUUAUUAUUUGAGUAAUAGUGUUGUGGGAUAAAAUGUAUUAUGCUAAUUGGAGGAUCGAUCUUAUUAAUGAUAGGUCUUUUAUAAGAGAUUAAAUUGAUUGCUUAGCGGUAAUCAACGGUACAGGCAAGUUCCUAAACUUGAACUUCUAAUUAUUGUGCAAGUUUCCUAACUCAACUUGAGUUAAUUCAAAGCAUGUUAGUGGUUAAUUAUUGUUGAUUAUACCACGUCAAUAAUUUAUUGAUUCGCACAUUGUGCAUGUUGUUUAUGUUCAUCAGGUAUGAAAGGCUGAUCACCUUCAUUACCAUAGGUUUCAGUUAAACUUGUUCAUGUUAAUUGUUGACAUCCAAUAUCAUUGGUUCAGUCAUUCAAUCAUUGAAACUUGAUUCAUGUUAUUUCACAAUUAUUAUAUUGUUGAAAACUUGAAAGCUUAUUCAUUCUUUUCAAUCAUGAUAUAUCUCCAUUGUAUGUAAAACUUGCUGGGCAAAUUUGUUGCUCACCCUUGCUAUAUCAUGAUAAAAUUUUCAGAUUAAGAUGAAGGCUUGAAUAAGGACAGAGGCAAAGACAAAGUGCA